rnacentral:rRNA from 1 species
AUGUCAGGCCUUCUCCAAUCCUUCUCAGUCUUCUCGCCUACACCAUAUAGUGGUGUUCUGCAUCCGACAAAUUAUCUAACCACAUCAAUGUCAGGCCUUCUCCAGUCCUUCUCAGUCUUCUCGCGUACACCAUAUAGUGAUGUUCUGCAUCCGACAAACUAUGUAACCACAUCAAUGUCAGUCCUUCUCCAAUCCUUCACAGUCUUCUCGCAUACACCAUAUAGUGAUGUUCUGCAUCCGACAAACUAUCUAACCACAUCAAUGUCAGGCCUUCUCCAAUCCUUCUCAGUCUUCUUGCGUACACCAUAA